rnacentral:lncRNA from 1 species
AUGCCCCCGGGCAGGGCUGGGGGGCUGCUGAUGCUCCCGGGCAGGGAGCUGCUGCCCUACCUGUUGGGGAGGGCUGGGCGGCGGCUGAUGCCCCCGGGCAGAGUUGGGGGGCUGCUGCCCCUCCUGCUGGGGAGGGUGAGGGGGCUGCUGAUGCCCCCGGGCAGGGCUGGGGGGCUGCUGAUGCUCCCGGGCGGGGAGCUGCUGCCCUCCCUGCUGGGGAGGGCUGGGGGGCUGCUGAUGCCCCCGGACAGAGUUGGGGGGCUGCUGCCCCUUCUGCUGGGGAGGGUAAGAGAGCUGCUGAUGCCCCCGGGCAGGGUUGGGGGGCUGCUGCCCUACCUGCUGGGGAGGGUUGGGGGACUGCUGAUGCCCCCGGACAGGGGCAGGGGGCUGCUCAUGCCCCCGGGCAGGGUCGGGGGGCUGCUGUCCUUCCUGCUGGGGACGGUCAGGGGGCCGCUGCUGCUCCUGCUGGGGAGGGUCGGUGGUCUGCAGAUGCCCCCGGACGGGGUCGGGGGGCUGCUGCUGCCGCCCCUCCUGCUGGAGAGGGUCGGGGGUCUGCGGAUGCCCCCGGACGGGGUCGGGGGGCUUCGGCUGCUGCCGGGGGUCCCGCUCCGGCUGAAGCCCCCGGGCCGGGCCGGGGUCCGAGGACGGGGACCAGGCGGGGGUGGGGGGCGGGCUCCGGGCCGCUCCUCCGGCCGGGCCCGGCCCCGGCCCCCUGGGGGUGUCCCCGGGCGAUGGGUGCGGGGAGUGCGGGGGGUGCGGGGUCCGGGCCGGUCCUUCCCGCCCGCCCCGGGCCGGGGGCAGCGGCCAGGCGGCGGCCAGCAGCGCCGGCAGCAGCAGCAGCAUGGCAGUCACCUACGGCGCCCAGGGAGGGGCAUGGCACCCCCGGACCGGCUCCCCCGCCGGCCACACACCGGUCCCGGUCCCGAUCUCGGUCCCGAUCCCGGUCCCGGUCCCGGUCCCGAUCCCGAUCCCGGUCCCGAUCCCGGUCCCGGUCCCGAUCCCGACGGCGCCGCGAGGAAAAAUGAGGGAAGAGCCAGCAGCCCGGGAGAGGUGCGAGGAGCACAGGAGGAGGAGCAGGAGGAGCUGGAGAAAGGGUGA